UACGGGGGGAGCAAGCGUUGUCCGGAUUUACUGGGCGUAAAGGGCGCGUAGGCGGCCACCGCAAGUCAGUUGUGAAAUCUCUGGGCUUAACCCAGAAAGGUCAACUGAUACUGCGGGGCUAGAGUGCGGAAGGGCCAACUGGAAUUCUCGGUGUAGCGGUGAAAUGCGUAGAUAUCGAGAGGAACACCUGCGGCGAAGGCGGGUUGCUGGGCCGACACUGACGCUGAUGCGCGAAAGCCAGGGGAGCGAACGGG
rnacentral:rRNA from 1 species